UAUUUAGUACACACAUCUGUAUCUGUUUUAAUCUGUUAACCACUUUUAAACAAUUCAUUGAGAAAACUCAUAAUUUUAGCAUACCCAGCGAGACAGUGUUGAAAUUAUUAACAAAAUUAACAAAUCAGUGUAUUCUCACUAAUGUACCUAUGUUGCCCUGCACAGAUUUUGGCUUCUGUAGGCAAUCAAAUUGACAAAUUACCGCCGGCAUUUUGCAAAACAUUCGAAUAAGUAUAUUUUAGUUCUGUUCAUUUGUGAGAGGAAAUUCUAUUCAUCAACAUGUUAUUAUAAGAAAUAAAACAUAGGUUUUCUGUCAAUAUAUUCUUAUUCUGAACGUUCGUAAUUAGAGAUAUGAGGCAAGAGAGGGACUAAAUUGGAGGAGGAUUGUUGAUGAAGCUAUGGCCCACCACAGACUGUGAAGCUAAGAGAGAGAGAGAUAUUCUUAUUCCAAAAGUUCAAUGCAUAGUUUUCCUCUUAAAUAUUAAAAUCCAUAUAUCGAAUAAUAAUUUUGUGACGAAUCCUGAACACUCGCGUAACCAAACGAAUGAGAUACUAAAACAAAAACAUUAAUGCCAAAUGACAAAACGGAAAUCGCCAAGUAGUACGAGUUGCCACAUCUAGAAAUUGCGAUAGUUCUUAAGAACAUAUACAUAUAUAAGCAGAGGUGCAUGCGCACAAGUUUAGCGUGUGAAUGUGUGAAGGUGUAAACGUAAGGUUAAGUGAUAAGGCGUAAUAAUUACAGCAACCAAGAUGUACUGCAAUUAGUAUGUGACUUUUAUUCUGUAAAUGGUCGAUCCCAGGUGCUUACCUGGACACAGGUGCGACAAGCUCGAUGAUCUGUCAGGCUUGGUAAACAAUAAUGUGUAACCAUUCAUUGACUAUAAGCUUCAAAUAGAUACAGGAGAGACAGAUACAGGACAGAAAUGCAAAUACGCUUCGGGAAAGUAAUAAUUGGCUUGGAGUUCAUGCUGCGGCACAGAUUUACUUUAGUUUUGAGUAAAAGGGCUCUGUCGUUUUAGAAUAUGGAGAUACCUCUGAGCACCGGGUAUAAGCACAUUGAAAGAAAGCUCAGAAGAGUCAUCGUCGAAUGAAGCCGCCUAAAUCUGAAUCAGUCAUAUGGGCUAAAGCGAAAGAAGGCUGUAGGCAGGUGAAGUGUGAGCAUAAGUUGAGAGAUAAGUUGUAAUAAUUUUCUAUGAUACCAUUCGGUUUAUGCAACGCGCCAGCAUCAUUUGAACG